CCCCUCCCCCACCCUCCAGUGGCAGUUGGCUGUGGUUGGGGUUUCCAGGGCGGCCGUGCAAGGCUCUGAAUGUGCUUUGGCAGUUGGCCUGCGGAACAUCCCCGUCUCCCGUGCAGUUCCUGGGUGCAGAACGCUCCGGAAGCAGGGGCUUCUAAACGGCUCAACCCAGACCUCCCGCUCAGGCCGGGCUGCUCUGCCCCCAGCGGUCGGAGGCCAGGCAGCCGCGUCUGAAACUCACGGACUUGAUGGCUCCCCGUGACAGAAGGAGGGGAUCAUGGAAAGGGGGUCAUGAGGAGUUGCCUUGGCCGGGAUUUCAGGGGGCUGGGAAGGCUCCCGCCUUUGCCAAGAAACUCUCCUCUCCUUCCAGGCGCUUUCUCCCCUCUCUCAAAUACACGCCGGCCCACCACGAAAGGUUCCUUCCCUGGGUGAAGGGCCGGCCUCUCUCGAACUACCAUUUCCUUGUAGCGAAGACGCAUGUCACGCUGCCAGCUAUUUGUCCUUUACUGCGAGUUGUCAGGACCUCCUCUGGGGUAAAGCCGGAAGGGGGUGGUGAAGGCCAAAGGCCACGCCCGGUGCACUGAGCAGGCCGGAAGGGCGGGAGGAAGCAUCUGAAACACAGCCCAGAUUUGCUAAAUGGGCUUGGAGGGACCCCAGCCCCCAGACCUUCCAAGAAACAGUUACCAGAAGCCAUGACAUGUCCCUGCAGCUGGAGGCCUUCCAGGGAGGGCCGAAGAGGCCUCCGGGGUCCAGCGUUACGUGCGGACAAAGGAAGAGAAAGAUUGGACCCCAGCUCAAGGAAGGAGGCAAAAAAACUCAAAGGGGAGGCACCAUCCAAUACCCCACAGGCCUCAGUUGGAAACGACAAGAAGCUUCCAGGUCAGACGCCAUCACCUGGUCCCCUGGAGGAGGUUUCAGUCCUGCCGAAGUCACACAGCCUCUUCACCCACUUUUGAGCUAGUCCCAAGAGAGCCCCUCCCUCACCAGACUCUUGGUGUGUGAUGCCAUGACGCAUGCUCAUGGCCGACCCCAUUCCAUAUUGACCUGCUUUUCAAUCCCAGGCUAAGGCUGCAUUCUCGUCGUUGUCUCGAUACCUCUUCCUCGUGUGCUCCUAGAGGGCAAGACACUGUUUCUCAUGCAUUUCUGGAUCCCUGGAGAUUAGUUUAGUGCUUGGUAUACGUGCCCAGCACAUCCUUUUUUUGAAUAAAAUUAUUUCAAAAUGGC